rnacentral:rRNA from 1 species
GAGUUUGAUCCUGGCUCAGGACGAACGCUGGCGGCGUGCCUAAUACAUGCAAGUCGAACGGUCUUUUCUAUGGAAGCUUGCUUCCACUGAGAAGAUAGUGGCGAACGGGUGAGUAACACGUGGGUAACCUGCCCAUAAGAGGGGGAUAACAUCCGGAAACGGGUGCUAAUACCGCAUAGUUUUCUUGAUCGCAUGAUCGGGAAAGGAAAGACGGCCUUUGUGCUGUCGCUUAUGGAUGGACCCGCGCUCUAUUAGCUAGUUGGUGAGGUAAUUGCUUACCAAGGCGAUGAUAGAUAGGCGGCCUUAACGGGUGGUCGCCCACACUGGGAUUGAGAUACGGCCCAGACUCCUACGGGAGGCAGCAGUCGAGAAUAGUCUACAAUGGUCAAAAGACUGAUAGUGCGACGCCGCGUGAACGAAGAAGCCCUUCGGGGUGUAAAGUUCUUUUAUAUGUGAGCAGUGGGUUCUAUGUGAACAGCAUGGGAUCAGAGAUAUUAGCAUAUGAAUAAGCAACGGCUAACUCCGUGCCAGCAGCCGCGGUAACACGGGGGUUGCAAGCGUUGUCCGGAAUUACUAGGCGUAAAGGGCAGGUAGGCGGAUCCAUAAGUUUUUUGUUAAAGGCAACGGCUUACCCGUUGUAAGGCAGGAGAUACUGUGGAUCUGGAAUGCGGUUGGGGAAGACAGAAUUCCUGGUGUAGCGGUGGAAUGCGCAGAGAUCAGGAGGAAUACCGAAAGCGAAGGCAGUCUUCUAAGCCGUCAUUGACGCUAAACUGCGAAGGUGUGGGUAUCAAACAGGAUUAGAUACCCUGGUAGUCCACACAGUAAACGAUAAUCACUAGGUGUCGGGUUCGUAGAGGAUUCGGUGCCGUAGCUAACGCGAUAAGUGAUUCGCCUGGGGAGUACGAUCGCAAGGUUGAAACUCAAAGGAAUUGAC